GAUGAACGCUGGCGGCGUGCCUAAUACAUGCAAGUCGAGCGAACGGACGAGAAGCUUGCUUCUCUGAUGUUAGCGGCGGACGGGUGAGUAACACGUGGAUAACCUACCUAUAAGACUGGGAUAACUUCGGGAAACCGUAGCUAAUACCGGAUAAUAUUUUGAACCGCAUGGUUCAAAAGUGAAAGACGGUCUUGCUGUCACUUAUAGAUGGAUCCGCGCUGCAUUAGCUAGUUGGUAAGGUAACGGCUUACCAAGGCAACGAUGCAUAGCCGACCUGAGAGGGUGAUCGGCCACACUGGAACUGAGACACGGUCCAGACUCCUACGGGAGGCAGCAGUAGGGAAUCUUCCGCAAAGGGCGAAAGCCUGACGGAGCAACGCCGCGUGAGUGAUGAAGGUCUUCGGAUCGUAAAACUCUGUUAUUAGGGAAGAACACAUGUGUAAGUAACUGUGCACACCUUGACGGUACCUAAUCAGAAAGCCACGGCUAACUACGUG
rnacentral:rRNA from 1 species